GCCUGGGAUAGCUCAAUUCGUAGAGAGCAUGAGGCUCUUAAACCCAGGGUCGUGGGUUUGAGCCCCGCAUUGGACA